rnacentral:tRNA from 1 species
GCGGUCGUAGUUCAAAGGUAGAACGAAAGCUUCCCAAGCUUUAGAUGAGGGUUCGAUUCCCUUCGCCCGCUCCA